GUGCCAGCCGCCGCGGUAAUACAGAGGUCUCAAGCGUUGUUCGGAUUCAUUGGGCGUAAAGGGUGCGUAGGCGGCGCGGUAAGUCGGGUGUGAAAUUUCGAGGCUUAACUUCGAAACUGCAUUCGAUACUGCCGUGCUUGAGGACUGGAGAGGAGACUGGAAUUUACGGUGUAGCGGUGAAAUGCGUAGAUAUCGUAAGGAAGACCAGUGGCGAAGGCGGGUCUCUGGACAGUUCCUGACGCUGAGGCACGAAGGCCAGGGGAGCAAACGGGAUUAGAAACCCGCGUAGUCC
rnacentral:rRNA from 1 species